AUCUGACCGUGGUGUACAAUGGAUCAGAAUGGAGAGAGAGUGGGAGUGUUCGGAUUGUUGCGGAGGCAGGGUGAGGAGCUGGGAGCCUGCGCUAAGGCUACCCAUGACCUACAGGCUGUGCGAGCCACGCUGUUUCCCAUCUUGUCUCCGUUCAUCUUCCUCGUGCCCUAUGAAGUCGGUAUCCGGCUCCAUCUUACAGACCAGGAAACUAAGAGCAGGCAAGGUCCAAGGCCACAUAACAGGUGCAAAAAGACAGACUGGAGGGAGAUGUAUGCCAGGACCCCUGACCGGCCCUCUUAGCUUGCUGGAGGGGCUGGGUGCAGCUCACUGACCUGGCCUUCACCAUCUGCUGCCUGCUUGGCUGUGGAGCCACUGAUGCCCACGUGUAGAGGGCACAGACCUAGACAGAAAUUGCUCAUUGAAAUGAGUAAUGCUAGAAAAAUUCACUUGAACAUGGAGAACGGUAAUAAAUAUCUAACUCUAUUGGG